CAAGAGCGUAUGUAAAAGUUGUUGCAGUUAAAAAGCUCGUAGUUGAACCUUGGGUUUGGUUGGCCGGUCCGCUUUUUUGCGAGUACUGGAUUCAACCGAGCCUUUCCUUCUGGCUAACCAGUCGUUUCGGCGGCUGGCGAACCAGGAUUUUUACUUUGAGAAAAUUAGAGUGUUCAAAGCAGGCAUUAGCUUGAAUAUAUUAGCAUGGAAUAAUAGAAUAGGACGUUAUGGUUCUAUUUUGUUGGUUUCUAGGACCAUCGUAAUGAUUAAUAGGGACGGUCGGGGGCAUCAGUAUUCAGUUGUCAGAGGUGAAAUUCUUGGAUUUACUGAAGGCUAACUACUGCGAAAGCAUUUGCCAAGGACGUUUUCAUUAA
rnacentral:rRNA from 1 species